ACCCUAUUAUUCGUUCCGUAAUGUUGAUGAACAUUUUGUGUUUUGCCCUCUGGCUAACCGCUGAAUUGACAUUGCGAUGUUGUGUUUGCAUAUUGUCCGGAUCCUGCCGGAUAGGUAGUUAUCUACCUCUUUACUUCCUGUAUUUUGACUUAUUUGUCAAAGUAAUUGUUAGCACUGCGCCCCAACGCAGUGCUAUUUUUU
rfam:Photobacterium iliopiscarium strain ATCC 51761 CFSAN029430_contig0021, whole genome shotgun sequence.